UUUCCGUAGGUGAACCUGCGGAAGGAUCAUUCAUAAUAAAGUGUUUUAUGGCACUUUUUAAAAAUCCAUAUCCACCUUGUGUGCAAUGUUAGAUCUCGUCAAUCUUGGCGAGAUUUUUAUACAUCAACUCAUUUUUUAACUAAUUUCUCUGAAAAAUAUUAUGAAUACUUAAUUCAAAAUACAACUUUCAACAACGGAUCUCUUGGCUCUCGCAUCGAUGAAGACGCAGC
rnacentral:misc_RNA from 1 species